AAAAGCUCAAACGGUUGAGCGUUCGACUGUUAAUCGAAAAGUUAUUGGUUCAAAUCCAAUUUAGA
rnacentral:tRNA from 1 species